CAAUUUCCAGAGACGGAGGCAUCUCUGCACCACAAAGGAGACUGCGGCACUAUGCAGCCUGAACAGCACGACAAAGCAUCUGAUCUGCCUGCUUUGACAAGAUGUGGCUGGGCCUGCAUAAAGAGUGUAAGCAGACUACUGUGUUGCUGAUCAGUGCUGGUGCUGAUCUCUACGUCUGAGUUGGCCUCACAACGUCCAGGCACCACUGUGCUUUGCUUCAUUGACAAGGUGUGGCUGGGCCUGCAGAAAAGCUGUAAGCAGACUGCAGUGUUGCUGAUCAGUGCUGAUCUCCACGUCCGAGUUGGUCCCACAACAUCCAGGCACCAAGGUGCUUUCACAAGAGGCAUACGAGCACUUUGUGUCAAAAACGCCGAGCACUGUGGAUACAGAGGCAAGGAGGCUGAAGGACCUGAACAAGCACCUGGCCACCAUGCUUCGGGAUGCAAAAUAAAGAUGGUUUGUGUUAA